rnacentral:rRNA from 1 species
CGCUGGCGGCAUGCCUCAGACAUGCAAGUCGAACGCGAAAGUUCCCUUCGGGGAGCAAGUAGAGUGGCGCACGGGUGAGUAACACGUAGGUAAUCUACCUUUGGAUGGGGAAUAACAACCGGAAACGGUUGCUAAUACCGCAUAAUGCAGCGGCACCUAAUGGUGACAGUUGUUAAAGCGGGGGAUCGAAAGACCUCGCGUCUGAAGAGGAGCCUGCGGCGGAUUAGCUAGUUGAUAAGGUAACGGCUUACCAAGGCAGUGAUCCGUAGCCGGCCUGAGAGGGCGGUCGGCCACACUGACACUGACAUACGGGUCAGACUCCUACGGGAGGCAGCAGUCGGGAAUUUUGGGCAAUGGGCGAAAGCCUGACCCAGCAACGCCGCGUGAAGGACGAAAUCCCUCGGGAUGUAAACUUCGCAAGAACGGGAAGAAUAAGUGUAAGUUAAUAGCUUUCACGAUGACGGUACCGUUUGUAAGCUCCGGCUAACUCCGUGCCAGCAGCCGCGGUAAUACGGGGGGAGCAAGCGUUGUUCGGAUUUACUGGGCGUAAAGGGCGCGUAGGCGGCACUGCAAGUCGACUGUGAAAUCUCCGGGCUUAACCCGGAAAGGUCAGCCGAUACUGCGGGGCUAGAGUGCAGAAGGGGCAACUGGAAUUCUUGGUGUAGCGGUGAAAUGCGUAGAUAUCAAGAGGAACACCUGCGGCGAAGGCGGGUUGCUGGGCUGACACUGACGCUGAUGC